UUAGCUGAUGACCGCGGAUUCCUCCAGCCAACGUCGGUUCAGUGCUGUUACUUCGAAGAGAAGGCACACAAACGAGCUGCAAAACGAAACAUAGGGUGAUGCUGCUUAACUACAGAAACUGUUCCUGAAGUAGCUAACAAAACUAUCGCGGUGUGACGUCAGACGCCGACAAUUGGUCUUGUGAAGCAACUCGGAACAAAGAAAUACGGCAUGGAGAGUGAAGAUGGUGACCUGGUCCAGAUUAACGACUUGUCCAGAAUGGAACAAACCUCUGCUUCCUGUUUGGAGACCUGGUCGGACAAGUCCAGCUUCAAAGACCUCAGACUGUAAAAGAAAAAAAGGUUGAUCUUCAUGAAGAUCUUCAAACAUUAGGGGUCAUGUAUUUUUAAUUCCUUUACCCCCCAGAAUGCAUUGCGUGUUGGUCACCUGGUCUGGCGAGCUCAAUAAUAUGAUCAUGAGUCUGCACAACUUUUUUGACAUAUGCGCUGUGAGCAACUCCGUAGGAAUGCCUUUACCCCCCAGAAUGCAUUGCGUGUUGGUCACAUGGUCUGGCGAGCUCAAUAAUAUGAUCAUGAGUCCGCACAACUUUUUUGACAUAUGCGCUGUGAGCAACUCCAUAGGAAUGCCUUUACCCCCCCAGUGGUGCUGUAUCCAGUUCUUAUAAUGCAUCCAUGACAAAACCUCACUCGGUCACAAGUAUCCAUUCUUACAACACCUAAGUCUCCAACUGAGCGCUCACGGUAUAAUUUACAGGUCAG